AGUGAACGCUGGCGGUAGGCCUAACACAUGCAAGUCGAACGGCAGCACGGUAAGAGCUUGCUCUUACGGGUGGCGAGUGGCGGACGGGUGAGGAGUACAUCGGAAUCUACUUUUUCGUGGGGGCUAACGUAGGGAAACUUACGCUAAUACCGCAUACGACCUACGGGUGAAAGCAGGGGGUCUUCGGACCUUGCGCGAUUGAAUGAGCCGAUGUCGGAUUAGCUAGUUGGCGGGGUAAAGGCCCACCAAGGCGACGAUCCGUAGCUGGUCUGAGAGGAUGAUCAGCCACACUGGAACUGAGACACGGUCCAGACUCCUACGGGAGGCAGCAGUGGGGAAUAUUGGACAAUGGGCGCAAGCCUGAUCCAGCCAUACCGCGUGGGUGAAGAAGGCCUUCGGGUUGUAAAGCCCUUUUGUUGGGAAAGAAAAGCAGCAGGUUAAUACCCCGCUGUUCUGACGGUACCAAAAGAAUAAGCACCGGCUAACUUCGUG
rnacentral:rRNA from 1 species